ensembl:misc_RNA Metazoa_SRP Metazoan signal recognition particle RNA
GCUGGGCGCGGUAGUGUGCGCCUGUAAUCCCAGCUACUCGGGAGGCUGAGGCAGGAGGAUUGCUUGAACCCGGGAGGCAGAGGUUACAAUGAGCUGAGAUCCAGCCACUGAACUCCAGCCUGGGUGGUAGAGCAAGACUCUGUCUCAA